rnacentral:rRNA from 1 species
GACGAACGCUGGCGGCGCGCCUAACACAUGCAAGUCGAACGAGCGAGAGAGAGCUUGCUUUCUUGAGCGAGUGGCGAACGGGUGAGUAACGCGUGAGGAACCUGCCUCAAAGAGGGGGACAACAGUUGGAAACGACUGCUAAUACCGCAUAAGCCCACGACCCGGCAUCGGGUUGAGGGAAAAGGAGCAAUCCGCUUUGAGAUGGCCUCGCGUCCGAUUAGCUAGUUGGUGAGGUAACGGCCCACCAAGGCGACGAUCGGUAGCCGGACUGAGAGGUUGAACGGCCACAUUGGGACUGAGACACGGCCCAGACUCCUACGGGAGGCAGCAGUGGGGAAUAUUGCACAAUGGGGGAAACCCUGAUGCAGCGACGCCGCGUGGAGGAAGAAGGUCUUCGGAUUGUAAACCCCUGUUGUUGAGGAAGAUAAUGACGGUACUCAACAAGGAAGUGACGGCUAACUACGUG